GAUGAACGCUGACAGAAUGCUUAACACAUGCAAGUCUUUGGCGAAGCUGUGCUUGCACAGCCUAGCCAAGGCGGACGGGUGAGUAACGCGUAAGGAACUUGCCUUGCAGUCAGGGAUAACAGACGGAAACGACUGAUAAGACCUGGUAAAGUCAGGCGGACUCAUGUCCAGCCUGAUGAAAAGAGAUGCUGCAGGAGAGCCUUGCGUCCUAUUAGCUUGUUGGUGGGGUAACGGCCCACCAAGGCGAUGAUAGGUAGCCGGCCUGAGAGGGUGGACGGCCACAAGGGGACUGAGAUACGGCCCUUACUCCUACGGGAGGCAGCAGUGGGGAAUAUUGGACAAUGGGGGCAACCCUGAUCCAGAAAUUCUGUGUGCACGAUGAAGGUUUUCGGAUUGUAAAGGGCUUUCAGCAGGGAAGAAAAAAAUGACGGUACCUGCAGAAGAAGCGACGGCUAAAUACGUG
rnacentral:rRNA from 1 species